UUUUUGUCUUGUAAUUUGAAUGAUGGGAAUCUAAACCCUUCCCAGAGUAUCAAUUGGAGGGCAAGUCUGGUGCCAGCAGCCGCGGUAAUUCCAGCUCCAAUAGCGUAUAUUAAAGUUGUUGCAGUUAAGAAGCUCGUAGUUGAAUUUCUGCCUUGUCAUUAAUCUCGCUUCCGAGCGUUUUUUUAUUGGCUUGGCAUCUUCUGGAUUUGGUGCCUUCGGGUACUAUUUUCCAGGAUUUACUUUGAGAAAACUAGAGUGUUUCAAACAGGCAUUCGCCUUGAAUACUACAGCAUGGAAUAAUGAAGUAGGACUUUGGUUCUAUUUUGUUGGUUAUUGAGCCAGAGUAAUGGUUAAUAGGAGCAGUUGGGGGCAUUCGUAUUUAACUGUCAGAGGUGAAAUUCUUAGAUUUGUUAAAGACGAACUACUGCGAAAGCAUUUGCCAAGGAUGUUUUCAUUAAUCAAGAACGAAAGUUAGGGGAUCGAAGACGAUCAGAUACCGUCGUAGUCC
rnacentral:rRNA from 1 species